AACUCGACGUCAUCGCGCUCCCAGCGUAACCUCGUCACCGACUAAUGGAGGCGCUCGAUGAAUGAUCCCCGCCCGCGAGUGAAGGUUCUCGAUCUCCCAAAGCUGCAAGAACCAAGAACGCAAUCGCCCUUUCGACAGAUGAUACUUUACUUGGUUUGUCCAAGAGCCAAGUUACAUAAGAUUGACCUAAACAACCCUACGCGUCAUUAGAGGCGAGGUUGAACACAUUUUCCGAGAAACUUUAGGU